UAAACAACAAAUCAUCAGCUGCGAAGCAGCAGAGGUGACAUAUGACACUCCUAUUAUACACUCAAAAUAUUAAGAGGCGAAUUCUCAAAAAGAAGCAGGUGCCAGAAUGGCCAAAGACGUCAAAAAUAAGCCUCAGAGUCUAUGUCUCCCUUCGGGACCUCCGGCGUGGCGCUGCGGUCUCUUCCUUCUCGUCCUCUUUCUCCUCCUUGUCACCACUGCUUCCAGCACCAUCAGUCUCAGUCGCCUUGGGCUUCUUCGCCUCAGCUGCAGGUUUCACAGGAGCCUGCAACAAGCAAAUGUUGUGGGUUGGGCGUUCUCUUCAAGUCUAGGAUGACGAGGGGAGUAAAACAAUCGUUGGGAAGAACUUACCACAGGCUUCUUGCCACCGAACAGGAUCCUGAAGAGCACGGUCACAAAGACAACAACAACCGAGACCAAAAUGCCAAUAGUGAUGUUGGGCUGCUUCUCUCCCUUCUCGAUCACAUCCUGUGUGCAAGAUAUUGAGAGAAGAUGUCACUUUCUAGGUGUGACAUUCAGAUGUUUGACAAGAUAGGUUAGCAAAGAUUUCCAGAACUCACAAUGAUCUUGGUCUUGUAGGGUGCCAAGAAUGGAACAUCAGCAAUCUUGUACAGGAUGUCAAAAACCUUCUUCUGCAAUGCAGAUGGCAAAACAAGUUAGUUAUAAAAUGGAAGUAUGGUCCAGUAAAGAAAUUAACAGUAAUGGCUGUAAUAAAAAGAUAAGAAAAUGAAUUACCUGGAACUCAGAAAGACCAUCUGCACCAGCAGCAGCCUCCUCAGCCUUCUCCUUUUCCUUCUCAACUUCAUAUUUGGGCUUCCAGGUCUUCUCUAGGAUGGAGGUGGCAACCUUCUCAUCAUCAGCAAUCAAAAUAUUGUCAAACAGGAUGCCAUCCUGCAUCGUCCAGAUCUCAAUUCCAAUAGCAGCAAUUGGAUCAAAGUCAGGCUUGUCGAGCUCAAAGUACUCAGGGUUGGGGAUCUCCUGAGGCUUCCAGAUUCCCUUGUAGUUGGGAUUGUCAAUCAGGGGUGCAUGCCACUUGCCCUUGUAAGCAGGGUUCUGCUUCAUUGGCCUCUUCCACUCGCCACACCCAGGUGCCACUUCGCACUUGGGGUUGUCAAUCUUUGGUGCCUCCCAUUCACCAUCCUCCUCAUCAUCCCAGUCCUCAGGCUUGGCUGCCUCUGGAUCAUCAAUUUCCUCAGGCUCAUCAUCCAGCCAUCCCUCAGGCUUGGUGGCUUCCUCAUCCUCAAUUUCCAUUGGAGCAUCCUCAUCCCAGUCAUCAGGCUUCACUGCAUCUGGAUCAGGAAUUUUAGCUCUCUCAUCCCAGUCCUCUGGCUUCUUGUCAUCAG
rnacentral:lncRNA from 1 species